CUGAGAUGUCCUCAGAAAGAGGGAAGACUUCAUUCAAAUUCUUGGAAUUCUUCAGUCUGAAGUAAGAGAAAAAAACAGGGAAAAAACCAUUAAAGUUUGAGACAUAAAAAGAUAAUCAUGAAGCAUUUUUUAAGUGAAGACUGAACCAUGGAAGCAAGAACCUAAAGAAAACACUCUGGGCAACCCUUCUACCUCCAUGCCAAGAUCUCAACAAAGGUUGACAAAAGUAAAAUCAAGAAAGUCCACUUACUGGAAAAUGUCAGUCCUUGGAGGCGGGAUUCUGCUGGAUUCACCUGGAAGUAUAUCAAAUGCUGUUCCCUUUUCUUCAAUGCAGUUUGCAGAAUUACUGUC